CCCAGCACUGAAGCGCUGGGCUAAGUUAUUUCGUCCCUGCGGGACU
rfam:Acidobacteriales bacterium 13_2_20CM_55_8 13_2_20cm_scaffold_4116, whole genome shotgun sequence.